rnacentral:rRNA from 1 species
AUUGAACGCUGGCGGCAGGCCUAACACAUGCAAGUCGAGCGAGCGGCGGACGGGUGCGUAAUGUCUGGGAAACUGCCUGAUGGCGGGGGAUAACUACUGGAAACGGUAGAUAAUACCGCAUACACUCAGAUAUGCCCAGAUAGGAGUGGCUAGUAGGUGGGGUAACGGCUCACCUAGGCGUCGAUCCCUAGCUGGUCUGAGCGGAUGACCAGCCACAUGGGAACUGAGACACGGUCCAGACUCCUACGGUAGGCAGCAUUGUGUAAUAUUGCACAAUGGGCGCAAGCCUGCUGCAGCCAUGCCGCGUGUGUGAAGAAGGCCUUCGGGUUGUAAAGCACUUUCAGCGGGGAGGCGUUACCCGCAGAAGAAGCACCGGCUAACUCCGUGCCAGCAGCCGCGGUAAUAC